AUCCAACUGACGAGUACCAAAUAGGACGAAAUGCGCGUCCUGGAU
rnacentral:hammerhead_ribozyme from 1 species